UGAUGGUGGUGAUGAUGAUGAUGAGGAUGAUGAUGAUGAUGGUGAAGACGACGCCAACGAGAACGACGGUGACGGUUCUUCAUGCCGAUGGUAUGCUUCCGGAUCAUCAUCACCAUCAUCAUCAUCAUCAUCAUCAUCAUCAUCAUCA
rnacentral:pre_miRNA from 1 species